rnacentral:rRNA from 1 species
CCCUUAGAUGUCCUGGGCCGCACGCGCGCUACACUGACAUGUUCAACAAGUUUCUCCUAGUUCGGCAGGACUGGGAAAUCUUUGAACGCAUGUCGUGAUAGGGAUAGAUCAUUGCAAUUAUUGAUCUUGAACGAGGAAUUCCUAGUAAACGCGAGUCAUCAGCUCGCAUUGAUUACGUCCCUGCCCUUUGUACACACCGCCCGUCGCACCUACCGAUUGAAUGUUUCGGUGAAGAUUCCGGAUAGGACUGAUUUGAUUUAUUUCAUUUCUGACCUAAAAGCUAUCUAAACCUCAACAUUUAGAGGAAGGUGAAGUCGUAACA